UACGUAGGGGGCGAGCGUUGUCCGGAGUUACUGGGCGUAAAGCGCACGCAGGCGGUCUGCUAAGUUUGGAGUGACAGUUGGUGGCUUAACUGUCAAAGUGCUUCGAAAACUGACAGACUUGAGGGCUUCAGAGGGACACGGAAUUCCGGGUGGAGUGGUGAAAUGCGUAGAGAUCGGGAGGAACACCAGAGGCGAAGGCGGCGACCUGGACAGGUACUGACACUCAACUACGAAAGCGUGGGGAGCAAACAGG
rnacentral:rRNA from 1 species